GAACGUGUGUGAGAGUGGAAAGUUCACACAGUGACGGUACUUAACCAGAAAGGGACGGCUAACUACGUGCCAGCAGCCGCGGUAAUACGUAGGUCCCGAGCGUUGUCCGGAUUUAUUGGGCGUAAAGCGAGCGCAGGCGGUUAGAUAAGUCUGAAGUGAAAGGCAGUGGCUCAACCCAUUGUAGGCUUUGGAAACUGUUUAACUUGAGUGCAGAAGGGGAGAGUGGAAUUCCAUGUGUAGCGGUGAAAUGCGUAGAUAUAUGGAGGAACACCGGUGGCGAAAGCGGCUCUCUGGUCUGUAACUGACGCUGAGGCUCGAAAGCGUGGGGAGCGAACAGGAUUAGAUACCCUGGUAGUCCACGCCGUAAACGAUGAGUGCUAGGUGUUAGGUCCUUUCCGGGACUUAGUGCCGCAGCUAACGCAUUAAGCACUCCGCCUGGGGAGUACGACCGCAAGGUUGAAACUCAAAGGAAUUGACGGGGGCCCGCACAAGCGGUGGAGCAUGUGGUUUAAUUCGAAGCAACGCGAAGAACCUUACCAGGUCUUGACAUCCCGAUGCCCGCUCUAGAGA
rnacentral:rRNA from 1 species